AUGACCAAGUGUUCUGUGAAAUGAUGUUUCUUGCUGCAUUUGGCACACUGUAAUGCCAUCUCUGCCAAAUCCUUUAUUUGCCUCUCCAAUAGUGCAUCCCAGGAGUCAUCUUUCCAUUUAGCUAUAGCUUUUCUAUAGCUCCUGUGUUCACUUAUUGCAAGAAUGCUGGUAUGUGCUUAAUACAGUAGAAAUAUAUCUACCUGUUGGCCUCUGGAUAAAGAUUAUACACUUAAAAGUAUAACCCCUCAAAUUCAUAUUUCUAAAUGGCCUAAUUCAAAAUACUUAAAAAGCCUAAGAAUUGGGUAGUAAUUUUUAGCAACUGUGGACUUCCUUUCUUUUAUUCUUCUUUUAUUAUAAAUUCAAUAAUCAUCCCCAAGCACAAACAUUUCAAAAUACAAAACACACGGAAAAGAAUUGUAUAAGAAGUGUGAACUUCUAUUAUAUGCAGUUUUUUGAAAGAAAUAUUUAUGGGACUUUUAGGUAUGGCACUAAGAUGACCGAGUAGAAUCAGAAAAAGCUUGAACCACGAUGAGAAUCCUCUCCAAACAACCUAAAAUAACACCUCAAAAUGAAUACUGGUGUGAAAGAACCAUCAAGGAGACAGAAUGAAGCAACUUUCAUGUAAAGAACAAGUUGAAAGAAUGAUGAAAAAAACAUUAAUACAAUUCAUCUGGAAGAACAAAAGGUCAAGAAUAUCAAGGGAAUUAAUGAAAAUAAAUGCGAAGGAAGGUGACCUAACAGUACCAGAUCUCAAACUCUACUUAUAAAGCGGGACUCCUGUGGUAAAAUUGAUGCUAUGUACUAAAGAAUUUUUAUUUGAGUUGAAUUUCCUCCAAUUAUGCUGGAAUUCUGCUAUGAGAAGAAAAGGCAACUCAAUCAAGUGGAAUAGUGAUUCAGCUGGAAAAAGCAUAAGGGAGGUCUUUCCUUUAUUUUGUUCCCUAGGUGUAAAGAGGAGUGACUCACUGCUUGUUUCAAGUUCAGGGAUAUAUGUCUGGGUAAAUGGGGGAUUAUAUGUUCAUAUCAUUCUGGUCACUCUAAGUUCUUCCAGAAGUCCUUUCACCUGCCUGUGCCUAUUGUCAUUUUUUGGUUCAGCCUGUCAACAAAGUAGGGAUUUAUCCUGGUGGCAAUGAACUAAUUUCCAGGCUCUGGGAAAGAAAGCCAAAUAAAAUAAAACAACACUAAAAACAAAAAAUGAAAACCUAAAACAAACUUUGGGUAACAGAUCAUUCAAGUUUUCUUAUUUGACUAUUAUAUAGUUUUAAGAGAAGAGAUGAUAUAAAAAUUUUACUAUUCCUUCUCAAAUCAAGGGAAUAUUAUAUGUCCCUAGCUCAGUCCCUGCAGAACUCAGUUUCCUUGCAUAAUUUGUCUUUAAGGACAUUUGAGAUCCAUUUCACAUUCUUCUCAACAUCUGAGUGGUGCUCAGGAUUCAAACAUUCUAUAUCCAGUGGGAAGUGGCAGAUAUUUUUUUCUUUUGAAGAUGGAAGUAUUUAUUAGCACAUGGAAGGAUAGGCAUAAUGUUGGUAUGGAUUUAUUAGUUCUCUAUUGAAUCUGCCCAUUUUUUUUCAGAAACAUUUGUAUCUAAUGGAAGGAACUUUCAUAUUCUUAUUUCUUCAAAGAACUAAAGAUAAUAGUUAAAUACCUAACUAAAUGUACUGUUUUAACAUUUUAGUAUUUUUUGUUUAUAUGCAUGUUUAAAGAAAAUUAUUGAAAAUUGGGAAUGAGGGAGGGAGGGAGAGAGAGAGAGGGAAAGAGAGAGAGAUAUUUAAAUAAGAGUAAUGGAAGCCAUUGUAUUAUACAGAGUAGAUUAAACUAGUAUUUUAUUCCUUAUUUCAGUUCUCAUAGGUUACUUUUGAUAAAUAUUUUUUUUCAAUAUUUUACUGCAAAUUGAAAAUGAAAGAACCUUUUUUUUUUACAAGGCAAGAUUGUUCCAUUUGUCACUAGGCCACAGAUAACUUUCCUUGUUUAUUCCAAAGGCAACUUUUGUGCCAAGCAAAGUAAUUUAGAAUGUUUUGUAUUCAUCAGAAACAUUCAUAGAGAAUGAUUUAGUAACAAUGAUCUAAAUGACUUAAGUGGUUAGAUUGGAAUCUCUAGACUUUUCUGAGGCUUUGGCUAAAGGUUUGCAACAAAUGCAAUAAAAGGGACAAUUUUGGGAAAAGACUAAAGUCUUCUUUUUUUUCUCUUCCCUCUUAUUUUGUAACAUGUUCCUGGCCACUUUGUUUAGAAAGCAAUCUUGGUGGGAAAUCAAGAAGAUAAUUCAUCAAACAAGCUUGUUUUGAAAAAGGAAGCACUUGACUUAAUUAGAAAUAAAAUGGAAGACUAUCUCAUCUUUAUGUGAAGCAUCGAAGAAUUUGUUCAGAUAUAACACAUAACAUAAAAGCAAGAUAUAUCUUGUUAUACAUAGAUGAGGAAAUGGAGAAAAAAGAAAUUAAGUGACUUGCCCAAGGUCAUCCAUCUAGUAAGUGUCUGAGAUCAUAUUUGGACUCAGGUCUUCCUGAUGCUAGAUUCAGCACUCUGUACAAUUUUUUAGCUAGCUCAUUCAAUAUUAAAAUCUUAAAUAAUUAAGCUU